GUCCACGCCGUAAACGAUGAGUGCUAAGUGUUGGAGGGUUUCCGCCCUUCAGUGCUGCAGCUAACGCAUUAAGCACUCCGCCUGGGGAGUACGACCGCAAGGUUGAAACUCAAAGGAAUUGACGGGGGCCCGCACAAGCGGUGGAGCAUGUGGUUUAAUUCGAAGCAACGCGAAGAACCUUACCAGGUCUUGACAUCCUUUGACCACUCUAGAGAUAGAGCUUCCCCUUCGGGGGCAAAGUGACAGGUGGUGCAUGGUUGUCGUCAGCUCGUGUCGUGAGAUGUUGGGUUAAGUCCCGCAACGAGCGCAACCCUUAUUGUUAGUUGCCAUCAUUCAGUUGGGCACUCUAGCAAGACUGCCGGUGACAAACCGGAGGAAGGUGGGGAUGACGUCAAAUCAUCAUGCCCCUUAUGACCUGGGCUACACACGUGCUACAAUGGGAAGUACAACGAGUUGCGAAGUCGCGAGGCUAAGCUAAUCUCUUAAAGCUUCUCUCAGUUCGGAUUGCAGGCUGCAACUCGCCUGCAUGAAGCCGGAAUCGCUAGUAAUCGCGGAUCAGCACGCCGCGGUGAAUACGUUCCCGGGCCUUGUACACACCGCCCGUCACACCACGAGAGUUUGUAACACCCGAAGUCGGUGAGGUAACCUUUUUGGAGCCAGCCGCCUAAGGUGGGAUAGAUGAUUGGGGUGAAGUCGUAACAAGGUAGCCGUAUCGGAAGGUGCGGCUG
rnacentral:rRNA from 1 species